rnacentral:lncRNA from 1 species
ACGACCGGCAGAUUGAGCGCACCUCUGUCGCCCUGUGAACUGAGUCCACCGAAAGCCAAAGACAGCGGCGGGAACCAACCAACGCUGGAGGGUCCAUUGCCGCCGUUUGACGCCAUCGGACGGACGGAAGAUCAGCGGCGUGAGGUCGCCGUUUGCAGCCGUUUCCUCCUGCAAAAAUCAGCAGAACAGGAGGCGCGGCGACGUCAAAAGCCUCUCUCACAAGAACAGAUCCGAGGUCGAAUCUGAAGAUCUGGAGAGAAGGGGAUCUGGGUGGCGUCGCUGCUGUCAAUCCGCGGCGAGGUUGCUCCGAGCGCGGAUGGCGGGCUGACGGGAAGUCAACGCCGGGCUGGUUAUAAGACGUGAAUAGUAGUCUUCAUCACCAAGUCCUACUGAAGACGACUUUGCUAAUCAUCAUCCAUCCUUCAAAGAGUAUCAAGAGUAUCAACGUCGUGGAUUCCCCCCAAAAGAACGCGCGGUGGAGCAGCUCUCGGUGGAGGAGACAGCUCGCGGUGGAGCAGUUCGCGGUCAAAGGCGAGGAAGACCGUCCAAGGCGAGGAAGACCGAUGGCGGUGGAGCAGGUCUCGGUGGAGCAGGUCGCGGCGGAGCAGCACGAGGCUCAGAUCCAGCAGCACCAGCAGCAGCACGAGGCGCAGACUGAGCAGGCGACGGAGGCUGCAGAAACGUGCUGGUUGCAGAUCCCCUUCGUUAACGUGCUGGAAUCGUGCUGCUGCUUCACGGAGGAUGAGCGGUAUUCCGGUGGCGCGGUGGCGAUGCUCAGAUCCGCGGCGGCGCGAUGUGAGAUAUGAAAUUACUAUUACCGUGUGGUUGGCGUGGAUGAAAUUACUAUUCCCAUUGAAAAAUGAAUCAACUUU